rfam:Rhodobacteraceae bacterium HLTCCO07 ITZY_scaf_22, whole genome shotgun sequence.
GCCCCUAUAGCUCAGUUGGUAGAGCAACUGAUUUGUAAUCAGUAGGUCCGCGGUUCGAGUCCGUGUGGGGGCA